UCCAGCCCAGGCGCGCGAGGAUGACGUCACUCGGCGCGUGCCCGGGUAGCCCGUGGUAACACCUAAUCAGCGGAAGUGGAGACCCGUGGCAGGCGGCUGAGACAGAGGACUGAAAGUGGUGGAACCAUAAUUUGUGACACCAGGUGUUUUUUGGCGAGCUGCCAUUUAUGACUGCAGAAGAUUGGCACUCAUAGGAAACCCCUUCGGAGAUUUUAACAAGUUUCCCAGCCGCAACCGAUACCAUGGCCCUACAGCUGGACCCUUCCCGAGAUGACCUGCCGCUCAUGGCCAACACCAGCCACAUACUUGUGAAGCACUAUGUCCUGGAUUUAGAUGUGGAUUUCGAAAGUCAAAUCAUUGAGGGCACCAUAGUGCUUUUCCUUGAGUCUGGAAACAGAUUCAAGAAACAGCGUAGUUCCCCCGAGGAAACCUGCCGAUCAGCAUCAAACGAAGCCUGCAGAUUUAGGACACCAGAGCCCUGCCAUAUUCCUGUGACAAAUACAAGGACCUUCUCAUCUAAAGUGGUAUAUAAUGAUUUUGUAAUCUGUGGUAAAGGUGAAAAAGAUACUUCUGGUAAAGAUGGUAACCAUGACAACCAGGAACAGGCUUCUGGGAUUUCUAGCUCGAAGUACCGCUGUGACACAGGGAAUCAUGGGAGUGAGGAUUUUUUGCUAGUGUUGGACUGCUGUGAUUUGUCUGUAUUAAAGGUUGAGGAGGUGGAUGUUGCUGCUGUGCCAGGUAUUGAAAAAUUUACAAGGUCUCCCAAGCUCAGGAAUCAGAUUGUACAUGAACUUGUGGCUCUGCCUGCAGAUCGUUGGAGGGAGCAGUUAGACUAUUAUGCUCGCUGCAGCCAGGCUCCUGGCUGUGGGGAACUCCUGUUUGACAUUGACACUUGGAGCUUACAGAUGAGGAAGACAGGGGCUCAGACAGCUACUGACUUUCCUCACGCCAUAAGGAUACGGUACAGAACCCAACCCCAGGGGCGAUCAGUUACAUGGACCUCAGACCAGAGUGGCAGGCCAUGUGUUUAUACUAUGGGAUCUCCCAUAAACAACAGGGCCCUUUUUCCAUGCCAGGAGCCACCCGUUGCCAUGUCAACAUGGCAGGCUACAGUUCGAGCAGCUGCAUCUUUUGUUGUUUUAACGAGUGGGGAGAAUUCUGCCAAGCCAACACAGCUUCGGGAAGGCUGCUCAAGCUGGCAUUACUAUGUAACCAUGCCAAUGCCAGCCUCCACCUUCACAAUUGCAGUGGGAUCCUGGACAGAAAUGAAGCCAGAGAUCUGCUCAUCAGAUGAUCUGGCUGCAGAGACAUCCUUCUCACCUUCCGAGGCUGCCUUCAGGAAUGUUGGUGUUUGUGGACAUGUGGAAUACCCCUGCCGCUUCCAGAAUGCUUCUGCCACCACCCAGGAGGUCAUCCCGCAUCGGCUUUUUGCUCCAGGGUGCCUCCAGGGUGCCUGCCAAGAGGCCCUUCUGCCGCUGAUCCCUCCUUGCCUCUCAGCAGCACACUCUGUCCUGGGAACACACCCGUUCUCCAGACUGGAUGUACUCAUCGUCCCUGCCAGCUUCCCAAGCCUGGGGAUGGCCAGCCCACACAUCGUCUUCCUCUCCCAGAGCGUCUUGACCGGAAUGAGCCAUCUCUGUGGGACCCGCCUCUGCCAUGAAAUCGCUCACGCCUGGUUUGGCCUGGCUAUCGGGGCCCGAGACUGGACCGAGGAGUGGCUGAGUGAAGGGUUCGCCACUCACUUGGAAGAUAUAUUCUGGGCUAAGGCACAGCAGCUGGCCCCCCACGAGGCCCAGGAGCAGCAGGAGCUGAGGGCUUGCCUGCGCUGGCGUCGCCUCCGGGACGAGGUGCGGAGCUCCCCUGAGGAGAUGCAGGUGUUGAGGUCAAUGGUUGAGGAGAAAAAGGAUAGAAAAGAAGGAUUGGAUGUCUGCUCGAGUUUGGAGGUGCUAGCCACGGCAAUUAGACCCAAUAAAGAGAAAACCGGCCACGUGAGUGACUCGGGCUCAUCUGUCAUCAAACAUGGGCUCAAUCCGGAGAAGGUCUUCAUGCAGGUUCACUAUUUAAAGGGCUAUUUCCUCCUCCGGUUCCUUGCCAAAAGACUUGGAGAUGACACCUAUUUUUCAUUUCUAAGAAAGUUUGUGCACACAUUCCAUGGGCAACUGAUUCUUUCCCAGGACUUCCUUCAAAUGCUGCUGGAGGCCAUCCCAGAAGAAAAAAGGCUUGAGUUGUCUGUUGAAAACAUCUUCCAAGACUGGCUGGAGAGUUCUGGAAUACCACAGCCGCUGCAGAGGGAGCGCCAGGCCGGGGAGGAGUGCGGGCUCGCUCGGCAAGUGAGCGCAGAGGUCGAGAAAUGGGUUCGAGUGAACCGGAGACCCCGAAAACGGAAACGAAGGGAGACCGAAGAAGUGUUUGCAAAGCUUCUUCCAGACCAGCUGCUCUUGCUUCUGGAGCAUCUCUUAGAGCAGACGACCUUGAACCCUCGAACCCUGCAACGCCUUGAGCGGACAUACCACCUCCCGGAGCAGGAUGCAGAGUUUCUCGGUGGUCUGGAGAAAGAUAUUCCAUCAGUGCCCACUGUGGACAUAUGGCUGCAAGAAAUCGGGAUGCAUGUCACAUUGCCGCCAGCUUCUCGGGAAGACACCCAUGCCAGGUGGUGACAAGUGGCCCUGUGAAUCGAGGGUUCUACACAGUUGAGGGAAUAAAAAAGAUAAGGAUUUUCUUUGUUUUUCCAAGACAUAUGAAGAGGAGUUAAAAACUCUGGGCAAGAGAUAUCUCUUGGGCACUUCAGUCUCACACAGCAUCUCCGUGAUGUCUUUUAAACAUCCUAUCAUUGAAAUUUUGAAAUAGGUUUAAUUCUUUUGUAGUGAAAAGGCUUGUUGUUUUUUCAGCUCUUCGUGGGGUGGGGCGAGGGAUUGGUCUGUGUUUCCUGGAUGCCAUGUUAGCUUGCAGGGGUCAGAAGACUAGAUCUCUUAUUAAUCAUGACAAUAAACUAUUGAACAGAGAAGUGGAAAAGCUGACUUCAUGUCGGUUGUGAAAGAGCCUCUUUCACUCAAGCCCAGCUCCUGGAUCUUCUUCCAGUCAUGGCAGGACCAACCCUGCAUUUUGCACACAAGCCCCCCCCAAGGGGGCCCUUAUCCUACUAGGAAAUAGACCCUAAUUUAUGCUUUGUUAUUUCUGACUUUUGUAAAUACGAUGAAGGGGAGCACAGGGAGAGAAAAUGGGAGGCCAGUAAGACCUCCAUUUUCACAGGUCUAAAAGAUAGAAUGUCCCCAAGUUUGUAGGGUGACUAAAAAAACCUGUCAUUGUCAAAGGCUUAGUGUGAUCAGGGUCACACAGACCUAAGUCAUUAGAACACUGUGAAGCUGACAGUUCUAUUUGACUCUGCUGAAAGCCGGUACCGCUGUCCCGUGUGCAGUUGUGGGAAGUGAGGCCUCUUCCUGAGGUCCCAGAGCAGGUGGCCGUUCCCCCAGGCUCACAGAGCUCACGGUACAUCCUUCAGUACAAGGGUGGGGCUGACUGGUGGCAUCUGGUAUAGCUAGAUUCCCAUGAGCUGGGAGAAAAACAAGAAAUAGAGGCAUCAGGGGGCUCUUGUGGCUCUGCCCAGCCUUCAGCCUUGGGUUCUCCAUCCCGAGCACAGGGUCUGGUGGCCCUGAUGGCUGUCUCUGGUUGAUGCAGUGUCUGAGCUCUGAUUGUUCCCUUGCUCUUCUGCUAAGAGUAUCUUAGGGGCUCCCCUUUCCCUUGUAGGGUGUUAAUUUCCAUUGGCAGUCUUGGAAAGAACCUUUUGUUGGAGGUGGAAAGAUUUCCCAGACUUGUCUAGCCCAACCUGCUUCUCUUGUGUUGGGGCAUCCAAGGCUCUUUGUGCUCCCUUCCGUGUGCCUCUGAAAUUCCUUCGUGGAUGUAAAGUUUGUUGGCAUCCUGUCCUUAGAAGUUCAAAGGGCCCAGCUGCCGCAGGUUGUGCAGACCUGCAGCGCUCGCACCAUCAUCGGUGCUCGGCGCCUUCCUUUCGCCGUGGGCAGACACCUCCAGCUCCUCGGUUCGCCAUCGAUGGUGUGAACUUGUCGUUAAGCACAAAUACAAAAAAGCGUAUGGACAUGUGGAAAGGUUCCUUCAAGAGGAUCAGGCCAUGGGCAUCUACCUCUACGGGGAGCUGAUGGUGAACGAGGACGCCCGGCAGCAGCAACUGGCCCGCAAGUGCUUCGAGCUGAGCAAGGAGCAGAUGGAUAGAUCCUCAGCCGAGGUGGUGGCCGAGAUGUUAUUUUAAAGAGGAAAGAUCACAGUGAGAUUCCUUUUCAUGCAUCUAUUGCUAGUCCUGGUGAGAGACCAGGAUCGCAUUGACCCUGACAUCAAAGGAAGGAUUAUGGGGCUGCUAAAGCCAUCAGCCGCCGGCAGUGUGCACAUCGUGGGCUGACUUGCCCAGAGGCUCUCCCAGUGGGGCUCGUGUAGAAGGCCUCACAGGGCCGUGGUGGCUUUGUCCCCACCCUGGAUGUGCCACCUCUUUGUCCCCACCCUGGACGUGCCACCUCUUUGUCCCCACCCUGGACGUGCCACCUCUUUGUCCCCACCUUGGAUGUGCCACCUCUUUGUCCCCACCCUGGACGUGCCACCUCUUUGUCCCCACCCUGGACGUGCCACCUCUUUGUCCCCACCUUGGAUGUGCCACCUCUUUGUCCCCACCAUGGACGCGCCACUUCAGGAACCUGAAUCCGAACUGAGUCUCCCCUGUGAGUUCAAGGCUGUUCUUCCACACAAGCGCCGGGAGGCACCUGAGGCCCAUGGAAACCUGCCGAUCCAUCUCCACCCUCCCCUCAGCACACAGAUCAUUCCCACAUUUCCGGAAAGCCCGAGUCCCUGUGUCCCGGGACCUGUGCCUACCAAGCGCUGUCCUCCGCCAGGUCAUUUCAGGAAGAUUCCGCAGUUACUUUGAUUGAUAUGUCCAUCAUUUACAGAUUUUCUAAUAUUUUAGGACCUUCUGAUAAAAGUGCAGGAUAAGAUUCCAAGGUGUAUUAAUAAUAAAAUGUAAUAGAUUUGG